GUCAUUGCAUUUAAAUGAAAUUAUUCUCGGUUUGAGAAAUACGGUAUAGUAUGGUUUAAUACGUGUUAUUUAGAAGAGAGAUUAUGGUAAUGGUUUAGCGCGUAUAAUGCACGGGUUUUGUGUGCAUGUUUUAGCGCGAAAGCGCACGAGUUUUUCGUUUUGGGUUAUAUAUGAUUUGCACAUCUAGUGAGACGCCAUUCGAGGGUUGUUUUUGACAGGCAAAGUUAUGGAGCAAGAAAACGAAAGGGUGAUAAAGUAGUUUAUGCGUUCAUUUGCGAAAUACAUAGUAUUCGGAAGGAGAUUUUCGAUGAGAGGACUGAUUCUCUGCUAGAAGCGGAAUGGUGAGCUGGAACUUCGAACAAAGAAGCUGGACAGUUCGAAGAAUAAAUAAUGAAUAGUGUAACAUUAUAGUAAGAGGGCAGCUCGAAAGGUAUAAAAAAAAAAAAUUUUUUUUUUUUUUUUUUUUUUUUUUUUGUGUAAUUAUGUGUUAGAAAAUAACUUGUUAAGAUUAAUAAUGAUGCUUUUAUUGAUGAUGAUGUUAUAAAUGUUGAUGAUGAUGCUAACGUUAUUGAUGAGGAGGAGGAAUAGUUGACAGUAUUUUGUGAAUGGAUAAUACUACAUUUACGAAUUUUGAGUGAAUGAAAUUAUUUUAGGUUUGAUAAAUACCGAAUGAUGUUGGUCUGUACAUAUUAUUUAGAAGAGAAAGUGAGUAUGGUUAUUGUUUAGCACGUAAAAAUGAAUGGGUUUCUAGGUUUUGCGUUUAAUUGAACAAAAACAAGUAACGGUUCAGCAACGGGGAUUAUUCUCAGAUGGUACAUGUAUUCCUUUUAGAGUUACAGAAAUUCAACUUUGCAUCAAUACCGGUUUUCUUUUAGAUUUGUUUGAUGGGUUAAAAUUCCAAAAAUUUACGAGUUUUGCAGCCGACCAAGUACCUAUAGCUUUGUAUUUGAGUGUGUUAAGCAUUUUGUUGUUUUCAAAUUAGUAAAUCAAAAUUAAUACGGUGUUCUAGUAUAUCAAUUGAGCUUAUGCUAUUGCCAUGGAAAUUUGAGCCAGGGUUCGAUCAGUAGCUUAAAGUAUGUCUGUGUUGGUGAAUUGAACCUAAAAACAAAUAUCAAGUCGGUAGUUUUAAGUUUAAGAGCAGAACAUACGUAUUGAUUGUGAGAACAUUAGUAAAAUGUGUUUGGUAUUUGUGCAUGUCUCUUGUGGUCAUUGGACCAUCUUGUUUAAGGCCAAUUGGCCUGAUUUUGAAAGCCAGUUGGCUUGUAUGGUCAGUUGACCGUUUUUAAAGCCAUUCUAUAUGGUGUGUGAAAGCCUGUUGGCUUGUGUUGUCAGGUUACCGAACUUUCUUGGAACGAAAGUCUCAUAGAAUUUACAAUAUUUGCAAGAUUAUUGUUUGCAAUGCAGUAACUGGACAGUUCGAAUAGUAUAUUAAGUAUUGAAGAACAUAAAGGUAUGGUUUAUGUAGUUUGUUAUUAUUAUUACUAGGAUUAUUAUGAUGUAUUUUAUUUGGGUGCAUUCGGAGAAUUGCAAAGCCGGUAGUUAAAAAAGAGCCUAUUACAUCAGAUAUAUUAAAGAAAUUUUAUCACACUUUUGUUUCUGAGAGCGAUUGUUCUUUGGGGUAUUUAAGAGGCGUUACAAUCUUUUUCUUAUUUUAUGCUGGUUUUUUAGGAUAAGUGAAAUUUUGUCUGUUAAAAGAUCAGAUGUUGUAUUUUUAGAUACGCAUUGUGAUAUUAAAGUUGAAAAGUCAAAAAC